rnacentral:rRNA from 1 species
GAACCUUACCAGCUUUUGACAUGUCCUGGACGGAUUGCAGAGAUGCGAUCUUCCCUCACGGGCCGGGAACACAGGUGCUGCAUGGCUGUCGUCAGCUCGUGUCGUGAGAUGUUGGGUUAAGUCCCGCAACGAGCGCAACCCUUACUUCCAGUUGCCACCAUUUAGUUGGGCACUCUGGCAGAACCGCCUCGGAUAACGGGGAGGAAGGUGGGGAUGACGUCAAGUCCUCAUGGCCUUUAUGUCCAGGGCUACACACGUGCUACAAUGGCCGGUACAAACCGUCGCAAACCCGUGAGGGGGAGCUAAUCGGAAAAAGCCGGCCUCAGUUCGGAUUGCAGUCUGCAACUCGACUGCAUGAAGCUGGAAUCGCUAGUAAUCGCGGAUCAGAACGCCGCGGUGAAUACGUUCCCGGGCCUUGUCACACCGA